GCCAGUGUUUGAUAUCAGGGCUUGGAGUUGUCUGUUGCCAUGGCUACUGCUUCAGCUACUUGCCCACAGGAGGGAGCCCUCUACCUGUGAAAAGGUAGGCUGGCAGCAGCAAUUUUUGUUGUUCUACAAGAGGACGGUGGAGGAGUCAAUUACCAAUAGAGGCAUAAGAUGGUUUAUUUUCUCAUUGUGUGCAACUCUACUGGUGCAAGUAUGGCGUUUGGUUUAUUCUCUAGACAGAAAUAAGAGGCACACUAGACAGUCACACAAAUAGUAAGAAAGGCAUCUAAUGUCUCACUGAACAAAUAUAUCUUCUCAUUUUCUCUUACCAGCCCGAUCUCUUUGCACUGAAAUCUCCACAUGAAAUAACAAGCAAGAGUCCCCUUCAGCUAGACAUCAGCCAGGACUGUCCCCACGGGAGAGGAACAAAUCCAAAUGACCGCUUCUGAAAGGAGGUGAGGUUUCAAUGGGGCAAAGCGAUGGAGUUCCCCAGAUAACUGGGGCAUCCUGUGAGACUUGCUGAGAAGCAUACGAGUCCUCAAAACUAAGGACAUUUCAAAACCAUCUCUCCACAUUCACAAUGUUCUUUUGGGACAAUUAUGCCAAGCUAAAAAUAAUUUCAUUCAAGGCUCAAGAGUGUUUUGUAACCCAGGAGGCCUGGAAAUAUCCUUUUAUAGCUCCAGCGCUGUCAGUCCCACAGAGCCACCGUCCUUGCUCUGAGACCUGGAGGGUCCAGCAGAGAGAAGAGAUGCAUUGGCCUCCUCGGGCAGGAAUUUCUGCUCACUCAUCCAUCCCUGGUGACUAUGACUGGGCUGAUUGUGGGCCCGGGACCUAGAAUUUUUUUCCCUGGCUACCCACCUUCAACUACCAAUAAUUAUAAUUUACGCUAAAGAUGAUGUUUUAGGUCAAAUAGGAAGAACAGAGCACUGAGCAGUCAAAGCUGGUGGGCCAAGGAGCACGGGUCUUCUAAGAAAUAUGAAGCCUAAUAUUCUAUAUUUCUUAAGGGAAGAAAAUUAUCUGUCCAAAUUAAUUGGGAAUAAAACUGGCAUGAAAAUAGGAUAGCAACUGAAAUUACAACUUACAUGAAGUUUUUUAGCUAAUUUAUCAUUUAUCGAAUGCUUUUAUUAUAAAGAAUAUUCAUUAAAAUCAAAAGAUUAUUCUCACAUAAAUAAAAUCUAAGCUUCAUUAUUGGAAAAGAAACCAUAGCUUUUCAGAGGACAGAGAUUUCAGAUGACACAUGUCUUUAACAGUCCUAUACUGAGUGCCAAAUUUAACUAUAGAACAUUACACCAAAUGUAAGAAAAAGGGACCCUAAUGUUUAACUUUAAAUAUAAAUAUAAAUAUAAAUGAAGCAAACAAAGUAACUUUAUUUUCAUUCAUUCUUUUCCCCUUCAGGAGGGUUCUCAGCCUUCACAUGUCAUGUCUAGGGUCCAACUUCAAAAUACUUCAGUUUUGUCGACGCUGAUGCUGGAAAUCUUCUGAGUGUCUCAAAGUAAUUUAAGAGCCAGAAACUAACGAUAGAGGCUGAAUUCCUCACAGAAGAUUUUAAAGAGAAGAGACUCACAAAAAGAAAAAAAAAAAAAAAAAGAAAAAGAAAGAAAGAAAGGAAGGAAGGUAGGAAGGUCAUUUAUUUUCUAUUAUACUAUCAGGGCUAAGGGAAGAAUUUCUUCAUAAGAGCAGAAUCAUUGCAGCUUUUGCCACUACUUCCCAGAUUUAAAGCCUUUAUUGCUUCUAAAACUCAAUAAAGGAGCCACAGGUUGAUGAUUUUUUACGUCUCUUUUGAUGCUGGCAGUCAGAGAAAAGCAGAAAUUUUUUAAAUAACCAUAAUUACAGCGUGAAGUUAAAUAACAAAACUAAUUUUGUCCAAAGUAACCCAACAAAAGAAUUAUGUAGCUAAGGUCUGCAUGGAGUUAUCAACAAAAGUCCCAUUUAUAGCUAAGUUGUUUUGUGGGGGAAGGAUGAGGUAUGAGGGCUUCAUUAAAACCUCCUAACAGUAAAAAAAAAAAAAAAAAAAUCAAACCGCAGACAGUAGGUGGCUCCUAAAACACUUCAUUCCAAAUGCUAUGCAUAAGCCAUCAAAGUAGGAAAACAAAAAUACCCCCCAAAUCACAUUAUCUGAAGGGAAACAGCCACUGUGUAACUCACUUACAUUUCUGCCUAAAAGAGCAAAUAUCACACCAGUGCAGUGACAACACAUACGAACAUUUGGAGAUUAAAUGAGAAAAACUGUGUCCAGUUUUUGCUCAAGUGCUACAGUUUUAUGUGAGGAGUUUUUAAAGAAG